rnacentral:rRNA from 1 species
UACGUAGGGGUCUAGCGUUGUCCGGAAUUAUUGGGCGUAAAGGGCGCGUAGGCGGCCACCGCAAGUCGACUGUGAAAUCUCCGGGCUUAACCCGGAAAGGUCAGCCGAUACUGCGGGGCUAGAGUGCAGAAGGGGCAACUGGAAUUCUCGGUGUAGCGGUGAAAUGCGUAGAUAUCGAGAGGAACACCUGCGGCGAAGGCGGGUUGCUGGGCUGACACUGACGCUGAGGCGCGAAAGCUAGGGGAGCGAACGGG